UCAUAUAGUCACCAAAGUAUUUUAUAAAGAAGAUGAAUAUGGUUUCCUUAAAAGUGGUCAUGUUGUUCACCCUCUUGCUCGUUUGGAAAGGUAAGCAAGAAUUGUUUUAGUCAAGAAAACCCUCUUAAUACAUUUUACUCUGAUAUAUAUACCUCUUUGACUAAAUAAUUGAGCAUUUUUCCCCCCACUAUUAUGCAAAAGUUGGGCUAGCAAUUUAUUUGUAAAUCCUUAUACAAACAUUUUAAACUUGUUGUUACUACUUUAUGGAGAGGUGAACUAUUUCAUUAUGUCUAAUGAAUAUGAGUUACAGGCAAUGCAGCUCCAGAACAACCUUGCCAGACACCUGGAGAUUGCCAUCUGAACUGCGGAGAUGAUGCCGUUAACAUUUGUCUCCAUAAUACCUGCUUGUGCCAACGCUGCACCAAUUUCUUCCCUCCCUCUCCCAGUGAUGAAUCUUUUAUAACCCAAGAUUGUUCAGCUGAUCAUCCCAAUUCCAAUUGUAAUCUCUAGUAAGAUUGUUGUAUCCUGAUGAUACAAAUAUAUUGAAAAACAAUCAUAUAUUACUAUUUGGCAUGCGUGUUUUUCCAUCUUUAGUAUUUUUAGUAAGAGUAUGUUGAUUUUUAUUUAACUUGUGUCUUAUUAUAAUGAGCACGCCCUGUCACGAGCUGAAUUCGGGGCAAUGACGAUUGGGCAG
rnacentral:lncRNA from 1 species